AGAUCUCGUUGGUGACCAGCGGAGGGAUCAUUA
rnacentral:rRNA from 1 species